UUAAUACUCCAUAGUUUCUAUCUUUCGCAUGUUAGAUAGAAUAAAGUUCCGGCGGUAAAAGAUGGGCAUGCGUUCCAUUAGCUAGUUGGUGAGGUAACGGCUCACCAAGGCAACGAUGGAUAUGGGGUCUAAAAGGAUGGUCCCACACACUGGUACUGAGACACGGACCAGACUCCUACGGGAGGCAGCAGUGAGGAAUAUUGGUCAAUGGGCGGAAGCCUGAACCAGCCAUCCCGCGUGCAGGAUGACAGCCCUAGAGGUUGUAAACUGCUUUUGUAUAGGAAGAAUAAGGAUUACGUGUAAUCCGAUGACUGUACUAUACGAAUAAGCACCGGCUAACUCCGUGCCAGCAGCCGCGGUAAUACGGAGGGUGCAAGCGUUAUCCGGAUUUAUUAGGUUUAAAGGGUGCGUAGGCGGAAGCUUAAGUCAGUGGUAAAAGGCAUUAGCUUAACUAAUGUAAGCCAUUGAAACUGGGUUUCUUGAGUUCGGUUGAGGUAGGCGGAAUGUGUUGUGUAGCGGUGAAAUGCAUAGAUAUAACACAGAACACCGAUUGCGAAGGCAGCUUACUAAGCCGUUAUUGACGCUGAUGCACGAAAGCGUGGGUAUCAAACAGGAUUAGAUACCCUGGUAGUCCACGCUGUUAACGAUGAUCACUCGUUGUUGGCGAUACACAGUCAGCGACUGAGCGAAAGCAUUAAGUGAUCCACCUGGGGAGUACGUUCGCAAGAAUGAAACUCAAAGGAAUUGACGGGGGCCCGCACAAGCGGAGGAACAUGUGGUUUAAUUCGAUGAUACGCGAG
rnacentral:rRNA from 1 species